CUCAAUAACCGCGCCUUUUUCGUUUUCUUUGUUUGUUUUCAUUUUUAGGCAGAUGUCAAAAACGCUCAGAAAUUUUCAAUAAUUAUUGAAUCAUGCUCUGCUAUUACCUGAAUAAUGUGCCUUCAUUUCUAUUGAACGUUUGCGAACAUUGGUCGUUAUUUGGGUAAAUUUUCAAUUUUAUUCAAAAAAUCUUAACAUCUUCGUUUGGGAUUGCAGCAAAAGGAAUACGCAAGCGAUAGAAACUGCGCUGGAAAACUAAUUCAAAGAUUUUGGUAGCAAUUUACACAAUUGGAUACAAGUGAGAAGAGUUAUGCUCAUACAUAAAUUUAAAGCGUGUGAAGUGGAAAUGUAUGUACAUAUGUAUAUGUGUAAACCAAAGCACUUUUUUUUAUCAUGUUUUGAUCAGAAAAAUAAUUUAAAGAAAAGUGCACGAGAAUUGGAUUUAGGCAAUGGCUUCUAGAUUCAACAGGACAAUAAUCCGCAGCACUUUGUCAAAAUAGUGCAAUUGCUAAUUGAGAAUUUAUUGGCUGAUCUUCAAUAAAAUAUAAGGAAGCAUAUCACGCCGAAAAAUGAACCCUACAGAUUCUUAUUUUUGUAUACGUAAACAACACACGUCGUCGAUUCGACGAGUAAUGUAAAUCUAGCCGCUAUCAUUGAAGAAUGGGGGAAAUAAAGGAAAAUCACAUAAAACUCACUAAAUCACGCAAAAUAUACUGCUAGAGGUAAUGAAAUAAAAAGAGACGUUGACCCGUAUGAUGGUUGCCAGAACGUUUGACAUCGGGAUCUGGCCGGUGCCAUGUGCACUCGGGCGUGCAACGUAUGCGGGUUUCUCGGAAACGGCUAUAGCGAUUUUGAUGAAAUUUUGUAUUCAGACAAUGUUUUGCAUUCUAAGGUUAUCUAAAGAGGUGUUAUGCCCGCGAAUGUUCGUAUAAGGUUACCAUCUAUUCCAAAAUAUUUAUAAAUUAAAUGUUAUUAUAUUAAACGAGCAAUUCUUGUACAUAUGUAAAUAUACAUACAUAUGUAUGUUUAUAUUAUAUCCAUAGGUUUCUCGGAAACGGAUCCAACGAUUUUGACGAAAUUUUGUAUGCAGAUAAUAUUUUGCAUUCUAAGGUUAUCAUCAUGGUAUGGGUAUCAAAUCAAAAGUAUUUUAAAAAUCCUUAAUUCAGACAUGUUUUUGAAUAGGGUUGCAACCAUUUUCCAUGUCGUAUUUAUUUAAAUUAUUGUUUAGAAAAUUAAGAAACACAAUUACCCUUCAUCAGCACUAAAAAGCAAACAAUCCUUAAAAAAUGUAUAACGCGUCUAAAGCGAUACGAGCCGUGUGCAGACUGACAUUGCGUGCACGUUCAUUUUGUUUCACUGAAAACAUGUGGUACUCCUGCAAGAAGCCUGACCUAUGAUUAUCGGUUAAAUUAGUGGGAAAACUUCGAUAGCAAUUAGGGAAGACAACGAUUAGUUCGAUUAGUUAGUAAUUCGUAAGGUAAUUGUGUCUGAAUUACUUACAAAUGAGGUAGGUAAUUCGCUCUCAACAUUUUGUGUGGCGAAUUAAAGCUCAGUUAGUCUAGACUUAACUUAAUUUAACUUUCCG